UGGACCAGAGAAGCGAGAUGAAAGUUCAGGGAAGCAGGAUAAAAAGAUUAGCCCUUUAUCAAGUGUAUGCUGUUUCUCUUCAUUGGUCAGCCACUGGAUAAAGGAGAACAUGAAGGGCAGCAGGCAGAAGAGAACAGCAAAAGACAAAACGUCAGUAGCACAACUGGUAAACCUGAUUUCUUAUGAACCUGUGUUCUCUGUCCAGCAACCUUGGGUCAGUAAACCCACUAUGUCCUCUGACAGCGAUGUGGAGCAUGACGGCAGAGUUCCCUCAUACGUUGAAGACUGCACCUGAUGAUGACAAAGACUGGAAAGAGAAGAGCAGGCAAGACAAAUGAGGGGAGAUAAUGAGUGGCAUAGAUGUGGUUAUUUCUGCAGGAUAAAUUACAUGAUUUGCUGGGCAGGAAGCAAAGGGACAAUUCCCAGGACUAAACCACAGAUCUCCAGUUUAGUCACCUGUCUCCUGGAAUACCCUUCAGGAGCAGGACCAGGAAACAACUGAAAUUUUGUAGCUCCAGAGCUGAAGUUUGGCUCUGAUACAAGAAGAUUAUCUUCAAGCUCCAAGGAACUGUCUUCUAAAAAUCUCAGCAACUUUCCCCCAUAAGUCAUCACGGUGCUGGUAUCAUACAGGGAAAAGAUCCCAGCACAAUUGGUGUGCAGAAACAAAAGGAAUUGAAGCUGUUUAGAAUUCCACUUCUUCAGAGAGUUCUCUAGAAGCAUGUAAGUUUUUGGAAGUUAACAAAAAUAUGUCAGUGAAUCAAAUUACUAUACAAGCAUAGAAAAUACCUGAUCCUACCUAAAACGCAUUAUAACAAAUUGAACUUUGCCUAUGGGAAGAUAUAUAAGUCUACAGUAUACUUUCCUCAUUGAAUUGGAAAACAGAUUGUCAUUAGAUUUGC